AGAGUUUGAUCCUGGCUCAGAUUGAACGCUGGCGGCAUGCCUUACACAUGCAAGUCGAACGGUAACGCGGGGGCAACCCUGGCGACGAGUGGCGAACGGGUGAGUAAUACAUCGGAACAUAUCCAGUAGCGGGGGAUAACCUAUCGAAAGAUGGACUAAUACCGCAUACGAUCUACGGAUGAAAGCAGGGGACCGCAAGGCCUUGCACUAUUGGAGUGGCCGAUGUCGGAUUAGCUAGUUGGUGGGGUAAAGGCUUACCAAGGCGACGAUCCGUAGCUGGUCUGAGAGGACGAUCAGCCACACUGGAACUGAGACACGGUCCAGACUCCUACGGGAGGCAGCAGUGGGGAAUUUUGGACAAUGGGCGCAAGCCUGAUCCAGCCAUGCCGCGUGAGUGAAGAAGGCCUUCGGGUUGUAAAGCUCUUUCGGUGAAGACGAAACGGUUAGCGCUAAUAACGCUGACUAAUGACGGUACUCACAGAAGAAGCACCGGCUAACUACGUGCCAGCAGCCGCGGUAAUACGUAGGGUGCAGGCGUUAAUCGGAAUUACUGGGCGUAAAGCGUGCGCAGGCGGUUUGCUAAGACAGGUGUGAAAUCCCCGGGCUUAACCUGGGAAUUGCGCUUGUAACUGGCAAGCUAGAGUGUGGCAGAGGGGGGUGGAAUUCCACGUGUAGCAGUGAAAUGCGUAGAUAUGUGGAGGAACACCGAUGGCGAAGGCAGCCCCCUGGGUUAACACUGACGCUCAUGCACGAAAGCGUGGGGAGCGAACGGGAUUAGAGACCCCGGUAGUCCACGCCGUAAACGAUGCGAACCAGGUGCGCACUUGCCGCAAGGCAAGGGCGUGCCGCAGCUAACGCCAUAAGUUCGCCGCCUGGGGAGUACGGUCGCAAGGCUAAAACUCAAAGGAAUUGACGGGGGCCCGCACAAGCAGCGGAGCGUGUGGUUUAAUUCGAGCCUACACGAAAAACCUUACCUGGGUUUGACAUAGCGGUGGUAGGGAACCGAAAGGGGACCGACCUUCGGGAGCCGUUAUAGGUGCUGCAUGGCUGUCGUCAGCUCGUGUCGUGAGAUGUUCGGUUAAGUCCGAAAACGAGCGCAACCCCCGGAACCUGUUACACGUGUCAGGUUCGACUGCCCGUGAGAAACGGGAGGAAGGUGGGGAUGACGUCAAGUCAGCAUGGCCUUUAUAUCCAGGGCGACACACACGCUACAAUGGUCGGUACAAUUGGUUGCAAGAGCGCGAGCUGGAGCCAAUCCGAAAAGCCGAUCGUAGUUCGGAUUGCAGGCUGCAACUCGCCUGCAUGAAGCCGGAGUUGCUAGUAACCGCGCAUCAGCAGUGGCGCGGUGAAUACGUUCCCGGGCCUUGUACACACCGCCCGUCACGUCAUGGGAGCUGGUCACGCCUGAAGCCGGUGAGCUAACCGCAAGGAGGCGGCCGUCAAAGGCAGGGCUGGUGACUGGGACGAAGUCGUAACAAGGUA
rnacentral:rRNA from 1 species